rnacentral:lncRNA from 1 species
AGACUCUGGGCACAGCAACAAGCAGGACAGACUCGGUCUCUCCCCAGAGGAGCUCAGAGCCUGGCGGGGGCAGAUACCCAUGAAACCAUCACUCAUGUAUUACAUACUUUCCAGAAAUUUAAUUGCAUUGUGUGUUCCUGUGGAUCUCUUUGGAUGCAUUCUGUUUGGGGAAAGCAGCAAGCAGGUUUACCAGAUGGGAUCAAGAGGGAAGAGGAAGGAGGCCAGCCUUGGAGGCUGAUCCCAGUGAGAGGGCUUCUCCUAGAGGGGUGCCAGGGCCAGGAGCCUCCAAGACCUGUGCGUGGGCUCACUGAUGCCCCUCUCGCCUCUCUCUGCUUGUCCCUCCCACCCUGACCCACCUGCUGCUCUCCACGCCCAUGGCUCCCACCUUUGUUUGUAUCUCCACUGUCUCUUGCCUUUUCUUUAAAAAUCUGACAGUCUCUGAGCCCCCUCUCCCUGCAAUCCAUCCUCCAUGAUGCCAGAAAUCCAAUUAUGUAACAGAGCUAGGAUCCAGCCACUCCUCUGCUCGCUUCCUGUUAGGGGCUGUGCUGCGUCUCCUUCUCCACCCCAGAAAUUUUUAUGUUGAAGUCCUAAUCCCCAGUAUAUCAGAGCAUGCCCAUAUCUGGAGAUAGGGCCUCUAAAGAGAUAGUCAAGUUAAAAUGAGGCUGUUAAGGUGGACCCUCAUCCAAUCUGACUGGAGGUCUUAUAAAAGGAGGAGAUUGGACACACAGAGACCCCAGGGCUAGGCAUAUUCAGAGGAGAGACUGUGAAGACACAGUGAGAAGGUGACCACCUGCAAGCCGAGGAGAGAGGCCCUGGGAGAACCCAAACUUGCCAACACCUUGAUCUUAGACUUCCGGCCUCCCGAAUUGUUAGAAAAUAAAUGUCUGUUGCUUAAGCCCCCUAGUCUGUGUAUUUUGUCAUGGAAGCUCUAGCAAACUAAUACUGUCCUCAUCUCAGACUCUGCUCUCCUGUGGCCCACAGAACAGGUGCAAACUUAGGACUGCACAGCCCAGCACCGCAGCCUCCUUCCCCGCAAUGCUCUAGCAACGCUGAAAGGGCUGCACCAAGUUGUUCAUGUCUCUGCGUCUCUGCAAUGCCACUCCCUCUGCCUGGGGCAGCCUCCCCUCCUUCUUGUCAACAGGCAGAGGCUCUGCUCUGCAGGUCUGACUUGUACAUCCACCACCUGCACUCAGCAUAGGACCUGGCACUGGGCAGAUGCCCCUGAAGGCUUAGAGGGAGGAAACAGAAAUGUCAGAGGGGCUGCAUUGGUGGACACAGGCAGGCCGGCUUUGUGGUCGUACCACCUGCGACUUACACAGCUUCCAAGUAUCUCUUAUUUAGGUCAAUGUUUUCUUCUUCUUCUUUUUUUUUUUUUCUUGAUGCCCAGUAAAGUUCAACUUUAUUGUAAAUUUUUUGUUUUUUGAGUCGGGGUCUCACUCUGCUGCCCAGGCUGGAGUGCAGUGGUGUAAUCAUAGCUCACUGCAGCCUGAACUCCUGGGCUCAAGUGAUCCUCCUGCCCAAAGUUU